UACGUAGGGGGCAAGCGUUGUCCGGAAUUAUUGGGCGUAAAGAGCGCGUAGGCGGUCCGUUAAGUCGGCUGUGAAAGUCCAGGGCUCAACCCUGGAACGCCGGCCGAUACUGUCGGACUAGAGUCCGGAAGAGGCAAGUGGAAUUCCCGGUGUAGCGGUGAAAUGCGCAGAUAUCGGGAAGAACACCUAUGGCGAAGGCAGCUCUCUGGGACGGUACUGACGCUGAGACGCGAAAGCGUGGGGAGCGAACAGG
rnacentral:rRNA from 1 species